GACGAACGCUGGCGGCGUGCUUAACACAUGCAAGUCGAGCGGUAAGGCCCUUUCGGGGGUACACGAGCGGCGAACGGGUGAGUAACACGUGGGUGACCUGCCCUCAGCUCUGGGAUAAGCCUGGAAACCGGGUCUAAUACUGGAUAUGACUCCAUGACGCAUGUUGUGGGGUGGAAAGCCUCGUGCGGCUGAGGAUGGGCCCGCGGCCUAUCAGCUUGUUGGUGGGGUGANGGCCUACCAAGGCGACGACGGGUAGCCGGCCUGAGAGGGCGACCGGCCACACUGGGACUGAGACACGGCCCAGACUCCCACGGGAGGCAGCAGUGGGGAAUCUUGCGCAAUGGGCGAAAGCCUGACGCAGCGACGCCGCGUGAGGGAUGACGGCCU
rnacentral:rRNA from 1 species